AAGAAAAGAAAAGAAAAGAAAAGAAAAGAAAAUACUCAGGAAUCACCUCCACCCUUGCCGAGGCAGAGGUGGGACAGGCAUGAGAGGAAGCUUUAUCACAGGAAUGAGCAAAAUGGAACUGAUUUUGAUAAAGGGCAUUGCAAGUACUUAGUUCACAUUAGAACCAUGCAGAUACAGUCUCGUCCCAAUCAAUGUUAUAAAAGUUAGUUCAUAGACCAAGCGGACUUCAAGUGGACUUUAAACCGUAUGUUGAAACCUUCCACUCAACGGGAACAAAUAAGCAGGAGCUCUUCUCUCCUGCACUCAGGUGUUAAAGCUGCUGCUAUUUCUGCCAUCCUUCCACCCCCAUCCUUGCCUACAAAUUAAUGUCCAAAGUUCCUAGCAUGAAUCAAGCCCCCUUCAAGACCCACCCCACUCUCUUUUCCCUAUAUUACCUCUCACCAUGCCUUUGCCUGGUCCCUUAUACAUCACGCAGUCUGUGCUUGGUCUGGUUAUGCCCUUUUAUCCAAAGUCUCUGAAUGGCAACAUCAUAUUCAUCUUUCAGAAUCCAGUUCAAAUUCACUUCCUUCCCUGAGGAGUUCAUGAUUCCUUUUUUGUGUUACAGACACAUUUCAAGCAUCUUCUUUAGCACCUGAUUCGACAAGGGUGUGGGGAGAGCAGUUCUCCCUUGAGCCUAUAGUCAGAUGUAUGUGCACAGAUCUAGAAAACAAUGGUGUGCACCCAGGAAUUGUGCACAUGGGACACUGAGAGGGGUCACUGAGUAGGUCACAAGCCCCAGGAUGACAGGGGAAGGAAGGAUUGGAGUAUAGUGUGGGGUUGGCCUCCUGCCCCUGUCCCCAGCCUCGACCCGUGGAUACAUUUCCAGGUCAUAUUGACUGGGAUUGAGAGUGUGAAUUCUAAAGCUCAGUGCCUGCAUUCAAAUUUUGAUUCUAUUACAUACUAGUUGCCUUGAGUGAGUCAGUUAACCUCUUUAGCUUCAGUGGAGAUGGUAAUAAUAGCAUUCCUGCCUCAUGGUUCUGUCAUGAGAAUUAUACAAGUUAAUGAAUACAAAGCUCCCCAACAGUGCCUGUCACACAAUAAGCAUCAUAUAAUAAGUAUCAGCUAUUAUACUUAGGAAGAGAGACGAGAGUUAAGUAAAAAACUGAAAAUGCUGGAAGGCCUUAGGGCACAUGCAGCACUAACUUGGAACCACUAAGUUGAGGGAAAACACAAAAUAGGUGUUCUUCCCAACUACACCAUUGAUUAGAAGCAGCAGGGCACUUAGAAGUGGGGGCAUCUAAGGGGACUGGAAGCAGAAGGGUUCCGGUGCUUGACAGAGGCAGCUGCUCUCAAAGAGACUGAGUCUCAGCAGAGACAGCAAAGUGACCAUCAGGAGCAGUGGCUGUCACAGUGUGGCCUUUGUGGUACCCAGAGAUGAUGUCACAAGACAUCCAAGAUGUCCAGUAAGUGCAGAGCAUUGUAAGUGACAGAGGAGCCUGGUUGAAGUAGAAGCUACCCAGUAGACGUGGUAACUGUGUCAGCAAGGGCAGUGAUGGUAGCAUAAGAAGGGAAGAUGCAAUCAGGGAAAAUAUUCCAUGAGGAUGCUUUGAUUUUUCUUUACAACACAGCUACUAAAUUAUGUGACGUGCCCAUCGCGCAGGAAGCUUCUCGGAGGCUGUGGAGAGCAGCCUGUCUGCUUUGAGAAGUGCAGAUCUAUCAGGAUCCAGAAUCGCGCUCUGAAAAAGCUGUCAUUUCAUGUCUCUAAAACAGCCUCUGAUUUAAUGUACAAGAUGUCAAGAAGUAAAGGACAAUAAAAUAAAAGCCAAAAAGGAGAACUAUUUCAAUUAAGAGGCAUCUCUAUACCAAUUCUUGGAAAUCACGUAAAAUAAAAACUGUCAGAAUCAA